CUAGUCUGAGAGAGUAUCCCUAUAUGUGGAGUGGGCUCCCAUAGCCUAUUUGUAUACUAGGGAUAAAUACUGAUCCACUACCAGAGGCCCCAAGAUUCCCCAGAACUCCAAACUGACAUCUAGGAACAUGGUGUCUGGAACUGUGUUACACUGGUUUUUCAGCUAUCAGUCUUAGGACCGUGAGCUUCCCCUUGUUCAGGUUACCUGUUUCUGUGUUUUUCACCAGCCUGGUCUUAACCUGUUUGCUCAUCACUCCUCCCUCUCUGAAACUGUAUUCCAGGAGAUCAGCUCAUUGUUUAGCUGUGGGUUUCUGCUUGUGCCUCAUCAGCUACAGGUAGAAGGCUCUAGGAGGGCAUAUAAGGUACUCUUCAAUCUCAAUAUUGGAGAAGGGCAUUUCAUAUAGCCACUCCACUAUUGCUUAGAUUGUUAGUUUGGGUCACUUGUAGAUCUCUGGACAUAUUUCUCUUCAAACCUACAAUUUCUCCCUCAAAUAUGGUGUCUGUUUUUUAGCUCUCCUCUAUUCAUUCCAUGACCAAAUCUUCCUGCUCUCUCAUGACCUCCUCUCCCCUUCACUUUUCUGCUUCUCUUUUCCUAACUACCUCUCCCCUCCUGCCAUCCUCCUGAUUAACUCGGGAAAACCAUGUAUGUCUCCUUUAGCGUCCACUUUAUUUUGUAGCUCUUCUGGCCAUGUGUAUUGUAGGCUGGUAUACUGAUGCUCUAUAUCUAAAAUCCCUAUAUGAGUGAGCACAUUACUAUUUGUUCUUAAACAUGUUCUUUUUCCUUCUAUGAUGUUGACACAUGAUCUCAUCACUCUGCUCAUCAUGAUCCGACACAGCCACUGAGGACGUCCUUUUCUGCCUUCUCCUGAGAAGUUUUCACUGAAGAUACAGUCACUACACCAACCUGGUGGUAUGCUUGACACCUGUAUGACUGAUUUCUACCUGGGAAUGCUACAUCAGUAACAGAAGUAUCAGCAAGCCGCUGCAGAGGAAUCCUGGCUCCUUCAGUGUUUACAGAGAAAUGUCACUCAUGACGAGAUUCAGCUCUGAGAGAUAAUUCUGGUGUCAGGAUCCCGAUGAAGUGUCUCACAAGCCUGCUCAUGGUAUUCUCAGACUCAGUCACACAGGAACUGCUUCUGAGGAGGUUUCCCUGAAGAUACAGUCAAAACAUCUUCCUGGUGAGUCUGACAGUGCUGUUAGUGAAUUUGCAUCCAAGUACUACAGCCAUGCUUCCUCUCUGCAUCCUGAGAAGCUGACAAUGGAGGAGACCACUUCCCUGAGCUUAUGAUAUGAACUACAAAUAAAGUCCUGGAUAGGAGUUGAUCUUUGUGGUCCAAGAUGUAAUAAUGCUGGGAUUCAUCUGGUUUAAACAAUGUUAAUUUUUUUUGUAAAUCUCAUUGUAAAAUCUUUCUAAAAUAUUUACAUAUGUGAGAGUAAUUUUAAUGCAGUCCCAUAUAUAAUGGACACAAUUCCCUAGCUAGACAUCUUAUGUCACAAAGUAAUACCCCAGUGGUAUAAGUGUGUUGUAUAUUGGGCAGCCAUUAGGUCUAAAAUUUUUGGCUUAUACUUAUUUAUCAUUAUGGAAUAAUACAAUUAUAUAUUUAUCUUUUGAUUGCUCAUUCUAUUAAUCAAUUCUCUUAUAUUUGUGUUUGGGAUGAUGUCUUGAUAUUUAAUAACUCAUCAAAGGCCUUGUCAGAGAAGAAUUCUCUUUCUCAUUCUCAACAUUCAUUAGUUUCCUGUAGCAACUGAAGAUUUUGAGAUAUCUGACAUCCACACUGGCAUGAAAACAUGUGCUGUCAUUUUGUUAACGUUCUUUAGGUAUCUGUAUUGUUGAGAUUUUUAUGGAUGCAUCAUUCACAUUAUAAAUAGAAGCUACUUUUUUGUAGCACUCAAAUCUACAUUAUUGACCAGAAAUACCAUGAGACAUUCAUAUGUGUCUUGGAGCUAUAAUGAGUCUAAGUCCUGUUAAGGGCUAAGAUUUGCAAAAUGAUGGCAACUAAGGAAGAUGACACAUACAUCAAGUUUACUUACAACUUUUGUAGCAGUAUAAUUAUUUGCAUUUUGGCCUCAGAAAAUGAAUGAGAAAGGGUACUACUUGUGUUUUGAGAUGUCCUGCUAUUCAACUAUAUUUUCAUGAAUGAAAAAUAUAUUGGAAAAUUAUUUUCCAUUAAACUUUAAUUUGACUUUAAACUAUUUUACAUCUCUAGCUUUAAAUUGAACAUUAACACCAUAUACAGAAGUAUAUAUAAUGGGAGUUAUGAAUUAGAUUUCUCCUCCAAGCUUGUUCAAGCGAAUUACAUUUGUAUGUAUCUGGGUUACAAAUGUAGUUCUAAGCACAUUAAAUAAUUUCAUCAUUUAUAUGUUGACUGACCAUUUCUUGUUACCUUUUAGAAAAUGUUUCAGCAAAUUAGUAAUUCAAAUAAAAUUUGGAUUUACUAAUUCAUUCUUGCUACAUUACUUCAGCCUCAAAAAUUAU